UAAUUUACCCUGGCACAGGUUUACAGUGAUCCGCAAGGCUGUGGGUCCGGCGAGACCUUCCAUUGCACAUCGGUUUUGGCCGGACUUCAGCGAUCGUCCUGCAAAUGUGUACACCCCGGGUGCGCACUUAUAAGGUGGGGACUGCGUUCGCGCCUCCCUUUA